AGAGGUGUUGGAUGGAGGGGAGCAUUCAUCGGGGCUCAGAGGUGUUGGACAGGAGAGAGCCUUCAGCAGGGCUCAGAGGUGUUGGAUGGAGGGGAGCAUUCAUCAGGGCUCAGAGGUGUUGGAUGGAGGGGAGCAUUCAUCAGGGCUCAGAGAUGUUGGAUGGAGGGGAGCAUUCAUCAGGGCUCAGAGGUGUUGGAUGGAGGGGAGCAUUCAUCAGGGCUCAGAGGUGUUGGAUGGAGGGGUGUCUUCAUCAGGGCUCAGAGGUGUUAGAUGGAGGGGAGCAUUCAUCAGGGCUCAGAGGUGUUGGAUGGAGGGGAGCAUUCAUCAGGGAUCAGAGGUGUUGGAUGGAGGGGAGCAUUCAUCAGGGCUCAGAGGUGUUGGAUGGAGGGGAGCAUUCAUCAGGGCUCAGAGGUGUUGGAUGGAGGGGAGCAUUCAUCAGGGCUCAGAGGUGUUGGAUGGAGGGGAGCAUUCAUGGGGGCUCAGAGGUGUUGGACAGGAGAGAGCCUUCAGCAGGGCUCAGAGGUGUUAGAUGGAGGGGAGCAUUCAUUAGGGCUCAGAGGUGUUGGAUGGAGGGGAGCAUUCAUCAGGGCUCAGAGGUGUUGGAUGGAGGGGAGCAUUCAUCAGGGCUCAGAGGUGUUGGAUGGAGGGGUGUCUUCAUCAGGGCUCAGAGGUGUUAGAUGGAGGGGAGCAUUCAUCAGGGCUCAGAGGUGUUGGAUGGAGGGGAGCAUUCAUCAGGGCUCAGAGGUGUUGGAUGGAGGGGAGCAUUCAUCAGGGCUCAGAGAUGUUAGAUGGAGGGGAGCAUUCAUCAGGGCUCAGGGAUGUUAGAUGGAGGGGAGCAUUCAUCAGGGCUCAGAGGUGUUGGAUGGAGGGGAGCAUUCAUCAGGGCUCAGAGGUGUUGGAUGGAGGGGAGCAUUCAUCAGGGCUCAGAGGUGUUGAACAGGAGAGAGCAUUCAUCAGGGCUCAGAGGUGUUGGAUGGAGGGGAGCAUUCAUCAGGGCUCAGAGGUGUUGGAUGGAGGGGAGCAUUCAUCAGGGCUCAGAGAUGUUAGAUGGAGGGGAGCAUUCAUCAGGGCUCAGGGAUGUUAGAUGGAGGGGAGCAUUCAUCAGGGCUCAGAGGUGUUGGAUGGAGGGGAGCAUUCAUCAGGGCUCAGAGGUGUUGGAUGGAGGGGAGCAUUCAUCAGGGCUCAGAGGUGUUGGAUGGAGGGGAGCAUUCAUCAGGGCUCAGAGGUGUUGGAUGGAGGGGAGCAUUCAUCAGGGCUCAGAGGUGUUGGAUGGAGGGGAGCAUUCAUCAGGGCUCAGAGGUGUUGGAUGGAGGGGAGCAUUCAUCAGGGC